rnacentral:tRNA from 1 species
GCCUUUGUAGCUCAACGGUAGAGCGGAAUACUGUUAAUAUUUUGAUAGAUGUUCAAUUCAUCUUAAGGGCU